rnacentral:rRNA from 1 species
UACAGAGGGUGCAAGCGUUGUUCGGAAUUAUUGGGCGUAAAGGGCGCGUAGGCGGUUCGGCAAGUCUCUAGUGAAAUCUCUGGGCUCAACUCAGAGUCUGCUGGGGAAACUGCCGGGCUUGAGUGUGGGAGAGGAGAGUGGAAUUCCCGGUGUAGCGGUGAAAUGCGUAGAUAUCGGAAGGAACACCAGUGGCGAAAGCGGCUUCCUGGUCCGACACCGACGUUCAGGCACGAAAGCGUGGGGAGCAAACAGG